AUCCAGCUGACGAGUCCCAGAUAGGAAGAAAUGCGCUUUAUCCUGGAU
rnacentral:hammerhead_ribozyme from 1 species